AAUAGAUACCCAGGUAGUCCACGCCGUAAACGAUGAGUGCUAAGUGUUAGGGGGGUUUCCGCCCCUUAGUGCUGCAGCUAACGCAUUAAGCACUCCGCCUGGGGAGUACGGUCGCAAGACUGAAACUCAAAGGAAUUGACGGGGGCCCGCACAAGCGGUGGAGCAUGUGGUUUAAUUCGAAGCAACGCGAAGAACCUUACCAGGUCUUGACAUCCCGUUGACCACUGUAGAGAUAUAGUUUCCCCUUCGGGGGCAACGGUGACAGGUGGUGCAUGGUUGUCGUCAGCUCGUGUCGUGAGAUGUUGGGUUAAGUCCCGCAACGAGCGCAACCCUUGAUCUUAGUUGCCAUCAUUUAGUUGGGCACUCUAAGGUGACUGCCGGUGACAAACCGGAGGAAGGUGGGGAUGACGUCAAAUCAUCAUGCCCCUUAUGACCUGGGCUACACACGUGCUACAAUGGACGAUACAAACGGUUGCCAACUCGCGAGAGGGAGCUAAUCCGAUAAAGUCGUUCUCAGUUCGGAUUGUAGGCUGC
rnacentral:rRNA from 1 species